rnacentral:misc_RNA from 1 species
AGCUAUAUAAUUUCUUAAUUAACACGAAAGUAAUAAGUUAUUCUCCCUAAUUUCAUUUCCAAUAUCACAACCAAUUUUAGUUGGCAAUAAUAAAAUAUACAUUUAACAUUAAUGAAUCACCAAACUGAGCAAUUGAUUUAAAUAAAUAAUGUGAUUCUAAUAUUCUUCUAUCUCAUUACCCAAUUGCUUCAACUAAAUAUAUAUAUUUUCAUUCUAACUUCUCAA